rnacentral:rRNA from 1 species
UACAGAGGGGGCAAGCGUUAUUCGGAAUUAUUGGGCGUAAAGGGCGCGUAGGCGGCUUUGCAAGUGACGGGUGAAAUCCCCCGGCUUAACCUGGGAACCGCGUCUGAUACUGGGAGGCUUGAGUAUGGGAGAGGGAUGUAGAAUUCCAGGUGUAGCGGUGAAAUGCGUAGAUAUCUGGAGGAAUACCGGUGGCGAAGGCGGCAUCCUGGACCAUAACUGACGCUGAGGCGCGAAAGCUAGGGGAGCAAACGGG